AGAGUUUGAUCAUGGCUCAGAACGAACGCUGGCGGCGCGCCUAAUACAUGCAAGUCGAGCGAGAAGGUGUAGCAAUACACUUGUAAAGCGGCGAACGGGUGAGGAAUACAUGGGUAAUCUACCAUCGAGUGGGGAAUAACCAACCGAAAGGUUGGCUAAUACCGCGUACGCCUCCGAGUCUUCGGGUUCGGAGGGAAAGCUGCACUGUGAGUGUAGCACUCUUUGAUGAGCUCAUGUCCUAUCAGCUUGUUGGUAGGGUAACGGCCUACCAAGGCUUUGACGGGUAGCUGGUCUGAGAGGACGAUCAGCCACACUGGCACUGCGACACGGGCCAGACUCCUACGGGAGGCAGCAGUAAGGAAUAUUGCGCAAUGGGCGAAAGCCUGACGCAGCGACGCCGCGUGGGGGAUGAAGGUCUUCGGAUUGUAAACCCCUUUCGGGAGGGAAGAUGGGACGAGCAAUCGUUCGGACGGUACCUCCAGAAGCAGCCACGGCCAACUUCGUGCCAGCAGCCGCGGUAAUACGAAGGUGGCAAGCGUUGUUCGGAUUCACUGGGCGUACAGGGCGUGUAGGCGGUUUGGUAAGCCUUCUGUUAAAGCUUCGGGCCCAACCCGGAAAGCGCAGAGGGUACUGCCAGGCUAGAGGGUGGGAGAGGAGCGCGGAAUUCCCGGUGUAGCGGUGAAAUGCGUAGAGAUCGGGAGGAAGGCCGGUGGCGAAGGCGGCGCUCUGGAACAUACCUGACGCUGAGACACGAAAGCGUGGGGAGCAAACAGGAUUAGAUACCCUGGUAGUCCACGCCC
rnacentral:rRNA from 1 species